rnacentral:rRNA from 1 species
CCUACGGGUGGCAGCAGUGGGGGAUAUUGCACAAUGGGGGCAACCCUGAUGCAGCGACGCCGCGUGAGCGAUGGAGUACGUCGGGAGGUAAAGCUCGGUCAGCAGGGAAGAGAAUGACGGUACCUGACCAAGAAGCCCCGGCGAAAUACGUGCCAGCAGCCGCGAUAAUACGUAUGGGGCAAGCGUUAUCCGGAUGUACUGGGGGUAAAGGGAGCGUAGGCGGCAGGGCCAGCCUGAUGUGAACGCCCGGGGCUCAACCCCGGGACUGCAUUGGGAACUGCCCCGCUCGCGUGCCGGAGGGGCCGGCGGCAUUCCUAGUGUCGCGGUGCACUGCUUCGUUCUUCGGCUGUCCCCCAGUGGCUCCGGCGGCCUGCUGGACGGUGUACUGUCGCUGAGGCUC